rnacentral:rRNA from 1 species
UCGAGAAUCAUUCACAAUGGGCGAAAGCCUGAUGGUGUGACGCCGCGUGGAGGAUGAAGGUCUUCGGAUUGUAAACUCCUGUCAUUGAUGAGCAAGGCUUCCCCGAUAAAACCGGGAGGAGUUUGAUAUUAGUCAAAGAGGAAGAGACGGCUAACUCUGUGCCAGCAGCCGCGGUAAUACAGAGGUCUCAAGCGUUGUUCGGAAUCACUGGGCGUAAAGGGUGCGUAGGUUGUUUCUUAAGUUGGAUGUGAAAGACCGGGGCUCAACCCCGGAACGGCAUUCAAUACUGGGAGACUGGAGGGUUCGAGGGGAGUCUGGAAUUCACGGUGUAGCAGUGAAAUGCGUGGAUAUCGUGAGGAACACUAGUGGCGAAGGCGGGACUCUGGAGAACACCUGACACUGAGGCACGAAGGCCAGGGGAGCGAACGG